rnacentral:rRNA from 1 species
GAUGAACGCUGGCGGCGUGCUUAACACAUGCAAGUCGAACGGUGAAGCAGGAGCUUGCUCUUGUGGAUCAGUGGCGAACGGGUGAGUAACACGUGAGCAACCUGCCCCUGACUCUGGGAUAAGCGCUGGAAACGGCGUCUAAUACUGGAUAUGUGAUGUGACCGCAUGGUCUGCAUCUGGAAAGAAUUUCGGUUGGGGAUGGGCUCGCGGCCUAUCAGCUUGUUGGUGAGGGAAUGGCUCACCAAGGCGUCGACGGGUAGCCGGCCUGAGAGGGUGACCGGCCACACUGGGACUGAGACACGGCCCAGACUCCUACGGGAGGCAGCAGUGGGGAAUAUUGCACAAUGGGCGGAAGCCUGAUGCAGCAACGCCGCGUGAGGGAUGACGGCCUUCGGGUUGCAAACCUCUUUUAGCAGGGAAGAAGCGAAAGUGACGGUACCUGCAGAAAAAGCACCGGCUAACUACGUGCCAGCCGCCGCAGUAA